rnacentral:rRNA from 1 species
UACAGAGGGUGCGAGCGUUGUCCGGAAUCACUGGGCGUAAAGGGCGCGUAGGCGGCAUGGCAAGUGGAUGGUGAAAUCCCUCGGCUUAACCGAGGAACUGCCGUCCAAACUGCUUCGCUUGAGACCGGGAGAGGUGAGUGGAAUUCCCAGUGUAGCGGUGAAAUGCGUAGAUAUUGGGAGGAACACCAGUGGCGAAGGCGGCUCACUGGACCGGUACUGACGCUGAAGCGCGAAAGCGUGGGGAGCAAACGGG